CGCUAGGGUCGCCGCGACGGUGCCUCGGGAACGAGGUGAAAAGGGAACGCGGAAACCGGGACGUCUUCCGGCGGGCCGCGGCUGCCCCCGCAACUGUGAGCGGUCGAACACGGUCCGCCAUCGGCCACUGGAGCGAUCCGGGAAGGCGGUGGUCCGGCAUGAGGCCGCGAGCCAGGAGACCUGCCGUCACCCCUUUCCUCUC
rnacentral:ncRNA from 1 species